UCGAGAAUCUUCCACCAAUGCGCGAAAGCGUGAUGGAGCGACGCCGCGUGGGCGAUGAAGGCCUUCGGGUUGUAAGCCUGUUGGAUGGGCGUAAUCCCUCGGGACGAACACUCCUCGAGGUUGAACUCCCAUCGGAGGAAGCACCGGCUAAACUCGUGCCAGCAGCCGCGGUAAUACGAGUGGUGCGAGCGUUGUUCGGAAUUACUGGGCAUAAAGAGCACGUAGGCGGUUGGGUAAGUCUGCUGUGAAAUCCCCCGGCUCAACCGGGGAACUGCAGUUGAUACUGCCUGGGCUAGAGUGCGGGAGGGGAGAGCGGAAUUCCUGGUGGAGCGGUGAUAUGCGUAGAUAUCAGGAGGAACGCCGGAGGCGAAAGCGGCUCUCUGGUCCGCAACUGACGCUGAGGUGCGAAAGCUAGGGGAGCGAACAGGGAUUAGAUACCCUGGUAGUCCUAGCCGUAAACGAUGGGCACUAAGUGGAGGGGCUCCCAAG
rnacentral:rRNA from 1 species